UGUAUGUGUGUGUGUGUCGGCUGACGGUGAGAAGAAUUUGUGGGUAGAACAACACAGUGGCCUUGAUGUUCAGUGGCAGGUCCGACCUACUUUCGAUCUCACAGCCAUGGCAGACUUCGACUGGUAGAUGGUGAGUACCUCUGUUGUUGUACAUUGUGCAGUCUUUGUUGUCUGGGUGGGUGAGUGAGUGGGGAUUGCACGGGCUCAAUAAUGGCGUUACCGUUAUUCUGCAAGUGCCCAACCCGCCUCCUAAAUGAUCUAAAUUGUGUUGAUGGGGGAGUAAAAACACCUACUUUAACCCCUGCCCCCUCCCCUCCGAAAAAA